CCUUAGAUCGUACCCACAUUUACUUGGAUAACUGUGGUAAUUCUAGAGCUAAUACAUGCAAACCAGAGUUCCGACCAGAGAUGGAAGGAACGCUUUUAUUAGAUCAAAACCAAUCGGUGGCGGGUUCGCUCGUCCACCGUUUACCUUGGUGACUCUGAAUAACUUUGUGCUGAUCGUAUGGUCUCGUACCGACGACGCAUCUUUCAAAUGUCUGCCUUAUCAACUGUCGAUGGUAGGUUCUGCGCCUACCAUGGUUGUAACGGGUAACGGGGAAUCAGGGUUCGAUUCCGGAGAGGGAGCCUGAGAAACGGCUACCACAUCCAAGGAAGGCAGCAGGCGCGCAAAUUACCCACUCCCGGCACGGGGAGGUAGUGACGAAAAAUAACGAUACGGGACUCAUCCGAGGCCCCGUAAUCGGAAUGAGUACACUUUAAAUCCUUUAACGAGGAUCCAUUGGAGGGCAAGUCUGGUGCCAGCAGCCGCGGUAAUUCCAGCUCCAAUAGCGUAUAUUAAAGUUGUUGCGGUUAAAAAGCUCGUAGUUGAAUCUGUGUGCCACGCUGUCGGUUCAUCGCUCGCGAUGUUUAACUGACAUGAUUGUGGGACGUCCUACCGGUGGGCUUAGCUCCUCACGGGGCGGUCCAGCUAAUAUCCCAUCGCGGUGCUCUUCAUCGAGUGUCGAGGUGGGCCGGUACGUUUACUUUGAACAAAUUAGAGUGCUCAAAGCAGGCUAUGUUCGCCUGAAUACUGUGUGCAUGGAAUAAUGGAAUAGGACCUCGGUUCUAUUUUGUUGGUUUUCGGAACCCCGAGGUAAUGAUUAAUAGGGACAGAUGGGGGCAUUCGUAUUGCGACGUUAGAGGUGAAAUUCUUGGAUCGUCGCAAGACGAACAGAAGCGAAAGCAUUUGCCAAAAAUGUUUUCAUUAAUCAAGAACGAAAGUUAGAGGUUCGAAGGCGAUCAGAUACCGCCCUAGUUCUAACCAUAAACGAUGCCAGCUAGCGAUCCGCCGAAGUUCCUCCGAUGACUCGGCGGGCAGCUUCCGGGAAACCAAAGCUUUUGGGUUCCGGGGGAAGUAUGGUUGCAAAGCUGAAACUUAAAGGAAUUGACGGAAGGGCACCACCAGGAGUGGAGCCUGCGGCUUAAUUUGACUCAACAC
rnacentral:rRNA from 1 species